CUUGCUUCUCUUGAGAGCGGCGGACGGGUGAGUAAUACCUAGGAAUCUGCCUGAUAGUGGGGGAUAACGUUCGGAAACGGACGCUAAUACCGCAUACGUCCUACGGGAGAAAGCAGGGGACCUUCGGGCCUUGCGCUAUCAGAUGAGCCUAGGUCGGAUUAGCUAGUUGGUGAGGUAAUGGCUCACCAAGGCUACGAUCCGUAACUGGUCUGAGAGGAUGAUCAGUCACACUGGAACUGAGACACGGUCCAGACUCCUACGGGAGGCAGCAGUGGGGAAUAUUGGACAAUGGGCGAAAGCCUGAUCCAGCCAUGCCGCGUGUGUGAAGAAGGUCUUCGGAUUGUAAAGCACUUUAAGUUGGGAGGAAGGGCAGUAAAUUAAUACUUUGCUGCUUUGACGUUACCGACAGAAUAAGCACCGGCUAACUCUGUGCCAGCAGCCGCGGUAAUACAGAGGGUGCAAGCGUUAAUCGGAAUUACUGGGCGUAAAGCGCGCGUAGGUGGUUUGUUAAGUUGAAUGUGAAAUCCCCGGGCUCAACCUGGGAACUGCAUCCAAAACUGGCAAGCUAGAGUAUGGUAGAGGGUAGUGGAAUUUCCUGUGUAGCGGUGAAAUGCGUA
rnacentral:rRNA from 1 species